UGGUUCUGGCAUCGAUGAAGAACGCAGCGAAAUGCGAUAAGUAAUGCGAAUUGCAGAAUCCGUGAGUCAUCGAAUCUUUGAACGCAUAUUGCGCCCUUUGGUAUUCCGAAGGGCAUGCCUGUUCGAGCGUCAUUAUCACCCCUCAAGCCUGUGCUUGGUGUUGGAUCUGGUUAUGCUUCGGCGUAACCAGUCUCAAAGAUAGUGACGGCGUCCCAGAAGGAACCGGUACGAGGAGCUUCUAACCAAGCAUGUACGCGGCGUGAUUCUGCGGGCGACGGUCUUUAUAACCAUUAUUUCUAAGUGUUGACCUCGGAUCAGGUAGGAAUACCCGCUGA
rnacentral:misc_RNA from 1 species